CAUUUCAACAACUGUUAGAGGCUAUUACCACUCCCGUUGCAUGCAAGAAAAUUAGCUGUAAUUGGAUGAGAAAAAAGAUUCAAGAAGAUUGAGUGGCUUCCUAAGAUGUGUAAGGGCUUGGAACACUGGAGAUUUUUUUUAUGUGUUUUUUUUUUUUUUUUUAUCAAAAGUCACCAGAUGGAAAAUGACAAAGUCAGUCAAAGGAGCCCAGGAUGACCAUGACUGCUUGCUCCCUGGCAAAGCCAAUCUGACGACACUGUCAAUUAGCUCUUACAGCAGCAGCAUUGUUUAUUUACAAGAACUGACUUCAAGUUCCAGUUCACCAAGUUCAUCAGAGGGCAAAUGAGAAUUGCAGUGCUUGGAGACUUAAUUUUAGAUGUACUUAUAUGUUGUCUGGAUGGCCCAACUCCAGGUGAUACUAUUUGCUGAUUUUUCUAAACAUCUUUAUUUAGAUGCAAUGGAUAUGCCAUAAAAUUCACUCAAAGCAUACAAUUUAAUGAGUUCAGAGUUGUGCAACCAUCAGCACUCUCUACAUGUAGACACUUUUAUCUUCCCCAAAAUAAAUUGGUUACCCAUUACCAAUCAUUUCCUAUUCCCUCUACCCUUUCCUCCAGCCAUAGACAGUCACUAAUCUACUUUCUGUCUCUAGAUUUGCCUGUUCUGGAUAUGUAAUAUAAAUGAAAUUGUACAAUACACAGUCUUUUGUGACUAUCUUCCUUUACUUAGCACAAUGUUUUUAAGGUUCGUCUAUGUUGUAGCAUGCAUUACUACUUCAUUCUUUUUUAUUGCUGAAUUAUAUUCCAUUGCAUGGCUAUACCAUAUUUUGCUUUUCUAUUCAUCAGGCAGCAGACAUUUGUGUUCUCUGCAAUUUUUGGCUGUUGUGAAUAAUGCUGUAUGAACAUUCAUGUGCAAGUGUGUGUGGAUGUGUGUUUUCCUAUCUCUUGGAUUAUGCCCAGAAAUGGAAUUACUGGAUCAUAUGGUAACUCUAUAUUUAGCAACUUGAGAACCUACCGAACUAUUUUGCAAAGUAGCUGUACCAUUCUACAUUCCUAUCAGCAAUGAGUGAGGGUUCUAAUUUCUCCAUAUCCUCUCCCACACUUAUUAUUGUCCAUCUUCUUUUUUGAUUAUAGCCAUCCUAGUGGGUGUGAAGUAGAAUCUCACUAUGGUUUUGAUUUGCAUUUCCCUAAUGGGUAAUGAUGUUGAGGAUAUUUUCAUGUGCUUAUUAGCCAUUUGCAUGUCUUUCUGGAUAAAUAUCUAUUCAAAUCUCUAGUAUAAUAAAAAAUAUUUAGUCUUCAUCCUUUGUUCCUGUCACACAGCUUCUAAAACGCUUGGAAGCUCUAGAGUGAUGAGCGUCUUUUCUAUAUUAAUGAGAUGACUGGUAGUCCCUAGAUAGCUUCAGCAUGGGGGCUGUUUGCCAAAAA
rnacentral:lncRNA from 1 species